rfam:Triticum urartu cultivar G1812 contig708323, whole genome shotgun sequence.
GUUGUACUCUUCCGACCCAAAAUUCUUGUCUUAAAUUUGUCUAAAUACGGAUGUAUCAAGUCAUGUUUUAGUAUUAGAUACAUCUAUAUCUAGACAAAAAGACAAGAAUUUUGAGACAGAGGGAGUACUUG